GCAUAUCAAUAAGCGGAGGAAAAGAAACCAACAGGGAUUGCCCCAGUAACGGCGAGUGAAGCGGCAACAGCUCAAAUUUGAAAUCUGGCCUCGGCCCGAGUUGUAAUUUGUAGAGGAUGCUUUUGGUGAGGUGCCUUCUGAGUUCCCUGGAACGGGACGCCAGAGAGGGUGAGAGCCCCGUAUAGUCGGCCACCGAUCCUCUGUAAAGCUCCUUCGACGAGUCGAGUAGUUUGGGAAUGCUGCUCAAAAUGGGAGGUAUAUCUCUUCUAAAGCUAAAUAUAGGCCAGAGACCGAUAGCGCACAAGUAGAGUGAUCGAAAGAUGAAAAGCACUUUGAAAAGAGGGUUAAAUAGCACGUGAAAUUGUUGAAAGGGAAGCGCUUGUGACCAGACUUGCGCCGGGCUGAUCAUCCAGUGUUCUCACUGGUGCACUCGACCCGGCUCAGGCCAGCGUCGGUUCUCGUAGGGGGAUAAAAGCUUCGGGAACGUGGCACCUUCGGGUGUGUUAUAGCCCGCUGCUUAAUACCCCUGUGGGGACCGAGGUUCGCGCUCUGCAAGGACGCUGGCAUAAUGGUCAUCAGCGACCCGUCUUGAAACACGGACCAAGGAGUCGAGGUUUUGCGCGAGUGUUUGGGUGUAAAACCCGCACGCGUAAUGAAAGUGAACGUAGGUGAGAGCUUCGGCGCAUCAUCGACCGAUCCUGAUGUAUUCGGAUGGAUUUGAGUAAGAGCGUAAAGCCUCGGACCCGAAAGAUGGUGAACUAUGCCUGAAUAGGGUGAAGCCAGAGGAAACUCUGGUGGAGGCUCGCAGCGGUUCUGACGUGCAAAUCGAUCGUCAAAUUUGGGCAUGGGGGCGAAAGACUAAUCGAACCAUCUAGUAGCUGGUUACCGCC
rnacentral:rRNA from 1 species